CAGUAGCCGCGGUAGGACGAACCGUGCGAACGUUAUCCGGAAUCACUGGGCUUAAAGCGCGUGUAGGCGGAUGGGAGCGUCGGCCUCUGAAAUCCCCCGGCUCAACCGGGGAAGUGGAGCCGAAACGACCCGUCUGGAGGGACGUAGGGGGACCUGGAACUUCCGGUGGAGCGGUGAAAUGCGUUGAGAUCGGAAGGAACGCCCGUGGCGAAAGCGAGGUCCUGGACGUCUGCUGACGCUGAGACGCGAAAGCCAGGGGAGCGAACGGGAUUAGAUACCCCGGUAGUCCCUGUCUCUUAUA
rnacentral:rRNA from 1 species